AUUGAACGCUGGCGGCAGGCCUAACACAUGCAAGUCGAGCGAGUGGCGGACGGGUGAGUAAUGUCUGGGAAACUGCCUGAUGGAGGGGGAUAACUACUGGAAACGGUAGCUAAUACCGCAUACCAUCAGAUGUUCCCAGAUGGGAUUAGCUAGUUGGUGGGGUAAAGGCUCACCAAGGCGACGAUCCCUAGCUGGUCUGAGAGGAUGACCAGCCACACUGGAACGGAGACACGGUCCAGACUCCUACGGGAGGCAGCAGUGGGGAAUAUUGCACAAUGGGCGCAAGCCUGAUGCAGCCAUGCCGCGUGUAUGAAGAAGGCCUUCGGGUUGGAAAGCACGUUCAGCGGGGAGGCGUUACCCGCAGAAGAAGCACCGGCUAACUCCGUGCCAGCAGCCGCGGUAAUUC
rnacentral:rRNA from 1 species